GGAGUUGUGGCUCAGGGGUAGAGCACUUGCCCAUAAUGUAUGAGGCUCUGGGUUCCAUCCUCAGCACUGCA
rnacentral:tRNA from 1 species